GGGGAAUAUUGGACAAUGGGCGAAAGCCUGAUCCAGCAAUGCCGCGUGAGUGAUGAAGGCCUUAGGGUUGUAAAGCUCUUUUACCCGAGAUGAUAAUGACAGUAUCGGGAGAAUAAGCUCCGGCUAACUCCGUGCCAGCAGCCGCGGUAAUACGGAGGGAGCUAGCGUUGUUCGGAAUUACUGGGCGUAAAGCGCACGUAGGCGGCUUUUUAAGUCAGGGGUGAAAUCCCGGGGCUCAACCCCGGAACUGCCCUUGAAACUGGGAAGCUAGAAUCUUGGAGAGGCGAGUGGAAUUCCGAGUGUAGAGGUGAAAUUCGUAGAUAUUCGGAAGAACACCAGUGGCGAAGGCGACUCGCUGGACAAGUAUUGACGCUGAGGUGCGAAAGCGUGGGGAGCAAAC
rnacentral:rRNA from 1 species